UCAUUGAGUUCUUUUUAUCGUAUAAUUUAUUUAAAAUGAAAUAAAAUAAAAACAGAAAUAAAAUAAAGUGAUGUGGAUGUAAUUAAAGUGCGAAACAGCGGCGAAAACUCUUGAAGAUCUCGCAAGCAGUUGGACAACAGGACACCAAGCAAGAUUGAUCAAAUAGGAGCGCAGCGGAAACUACAAACUAUUAUUUAAAUUUUAAGAUAACUUUGGCUUGGGCGUUUGGACAUCUUCCUACAUAAUUCGUGUCCCUUACAUAUGUAUCGAAACUAUCCACGAUCCCAGUCGAUUUAUUAUCCAUCAUAUACCAACUCACUGGGCCGAUUGAAUUUGAUGGCCUGUCUAGUGAUAGUGUCAGUA